GGUUCAUUCAAAUUUCUUCCCUAUCAACUUUCGAUGUUGGGUAUUGGCCAAACAUGGUUGCAACGGGUAACGGAGGGUUAGGGCUCGACCCCGGAGAAGGAGCCUGAGAAACGGCUACUACAUCCAAGGAAGGCAGCAGGCGCGCAAAUUACCCAAUCCCGACCGGGGAGGUAGUGACAAUAAAUACUGAUACAGGGUUCUUUCGGAUCUUGUAAUUGGAAUGAGUACAAUUUAAAUCCCUUAAGAGGAAAAUUGGAGGGCAAGUCUGGUGCCAGCAGCCGCGGUAAUUCCAGCUCCAAUAGCGUAUAUUANAGUUGUAUAGGUUAAAAAGCUCGUAGUUG
rnacentral:rRNA from 1 species